AUGAUAAUUAUCCCCACGUAAGCAGCGAGUCUGUCUGUAGAUAAGGCACAGAAAACGAAGAAAGAUAAGAGAGAUAGGGAUGGCGUAUGGAUGUUGCUGCCGUUGGAAACCCUUGGGCAUGGAUUGCUGGUUAUCUUCGUCCUCAGCCUCAAAUUGGAAGAAGCGUCUUGGGCCUGUGCUCGUUUCUGUGUCUUCUCGCUCCGAUGAUAUCUCUCCCACUAGCAAUAGCACUAUCACUAGUAGCAGCGGAAGAAGAGAAGAAGACAUAAAAGGAUCAGGAACUACCGCCAGAGGUCGCAGAUUGCUUAGAAUUCGUGAAGAGAAACAGCAGCGGGAAUACGAUCGCCUUAACAAUUACCCUGCUUGGGCAAAAGUCCUGGAAAAUGCUUGCAAAGAUGAUGCUGAACUUCGAGCCGUUCUUGGAGAUAGUGUUGGCAACCCUGAACUCAUGAGAAAACGGGUGGAAGAUAGGGUUCGAAAGAAGGGUAGAGACUUUCAUAAGUCCAAAACAGGAUCUGUGCUUGCUUUCAAAGUCAGCUUUAGAGACUUCAAUCCAGUUGAUUCAUUUAUCUGGUUUGAAUUGUUCGGAUCACCAUCUGAUCAGGAUGUUAAUCUAAUUGGUAAUGUUAUUCAAUCAUGGUAUGUCAUGGGUCGCCUUGGUGCCUUCAAUUCUUCAAAUUUGCAGCUGGCAAAUUCAUCAAUGGAGUAUGAUCCUUUAUACGAUGCAGAUAAGGGUUUCAAAGUGAUGCCGUCAUCUUUCCAUGAUAUCAGUGACAUUGAGUUCCAGGAAAACUGGGGACGUGUAUGGGUGGACUUGGGUACAUCUGAUUAUUUUGCAGUUGAUGUCCUUCUCAACUGCCUAACUGUCUUAAGCUCAGAAUAUCUUGGUAUCCAACAAAUUGUUUUUGGUGGUCGCCGCAUGGGUGAUUGGGAAGAGGGGAUGACAAACCCUGAGUACGGUUACAAAUUCUUCAAGAUAUAAACUGGGACUGUUCGCAGUUGAUUUCAUUCCUCGUAUUGUACUUCAAUUUAGUUCAGAAAGAGUGUAACAUUAUGCAUACGAAAAGAUGAAAUGGAAGCAUCUUCAAGCGGUAUUCGACAUAUUAUGCACAACAUAACAAUGGUCUACAGCUAAAAUUAAUUUGACAUAAUUUAGCCAGAAUGUCAAAAUUCUAGAGCAAUUGUUAGAUACGUCGAAUCCCAGGAAUUAUUCAUUUAUACAAGAGCUAGUGGGAACCUCCUAAAAUUUCAGCAUUUCCAAAAUAACAAAAGUUGUAGUAAUAACAAUAACGAGUUGUUAUUUCAAACUUUGAAAUUUUGCUUAACUCUUCUGGAAAACUCCAGCUUUUCCAAAGUACUAUUAGUAGGAAUAUACUUAUAGAAAUUUUAG